AUUGAACGCUGGCGGCAGGCCUAACACAUGCAAGUCGAACGGUAACAGGGAUCAGCUUGCUGAUUCGCUGACGAGUGGCGGACGGGUGAGUAAUGUCUGGGAAACUGCCUGAUGGAGGGGGAUGACUACUGGAAACGGUAGCUAAUACCGCAUAACGUCGCAAGACCAAAGAGGGGGACCUUCGGGCCUCUUGCCAUCGGAUGUGCCCAGAUGGGAUUAGCUAGUAGGUGGGGUAACGGCUCACCUAGGCGACGAUCCCUAGCUGGUCUGAGAGGAUGACCAGCCACACUGGAACUGAGACACGGUCCAGACUCCUACGGGAGGCAGCAGUGGGGAAUAUUGCACAAUGGGCGCAAGCCUGAUGCAGCCAUGCCGCGUGUAUGAAGAAGGCCUUCGGGUUGUAAAGUACUUUCAGCGGGGAGGAAGGGAGUAAAGUUAAUACCUUUGCUCAUUGACGUUACCCGCAGAAGAAGCACCGGCUAACUCCGUG
rnacentral:rRNA from 1 species